GCCGGAUAUGGAAGCCCUGUAAGGGGUGGAGUUGACCGGUACUAAUAGGCCGAGGGCUUGUCCUCAGUUG
rnacentral:rRNA from 1 species